AAACCAACAGGGAUUGCCUUAGUAACGGCGAGUGAAGCGGCAAUAGCUCAAAUUUGAAAUCUGGCUCUUUCAGAGUCUGAGUUGUAAUUUGUAGAGGAUGUUUCGGACAAAGCUUGGGUCUAAGUUCCUUGGAACAGGACGUCAUAGAGGGUGAGAAUCCCGUCUUGGUCCCUAUGCUGCGUCUAUGUGAAACUCCUUCGACGAGUCGAGUUGUUUGGGAAUGCAGCUCAAAAUGGGAGGUAAAUUUCUUCUAAAGCUAAAUAUUGGCCAGAGACCGAUAGCGCACAAGUAGAGUGAUCGAAAGAUGAAAAGUACUUUGAAAAGAGAGUUAAACAGUAUGUGAAAUUGUUGAAAGGGAAGCGCUUGCAACCAGACUUGUUUCUAACGGUUCAACCAUUAUUUUUAAUGGCUUAUUUCGUUAGUUCAGGCCAGCAUCAGUUUGGGCGGUUAGUUAAAGGCCUUGGGAAUGUAUCUACCCUUUCGGGGGUAGACUUAUAGCCCUUGGUGUAAUGUGACCUGCCUAGACUGAGGAACGCGNUUUUGCUCGGAUGCUGGCGUAAUGGUUGUAAGCGAC
rnacentral:rRNA from 1 species